ACGGAAGGCAGCAGUGGGGAAUAUUGCACAAUGGGGGAAACCCUGAUGCAGCGACGCCGCGUGAGUGAAGAAGUAUUUCGGUAUGUAAAGCUCUAUCAGCAGGAAAGAAAAUGACGGUACCUGAUUAAGAAGCCCCGGCUAACUACGUGCCAGCAGCCGCGGUAAUACGUAGGGGGCAAGCGUUAUCCGGAUUUACUGGGUGUAAAGGGAGCGUAGACGGCUUUGCAAGUCUGAAGUGAAAGCCCGGGGCUCAACCCCGGAACUGCUUUGGAAACUGUAGAGCUAGAGUGCAGGAGAGGUAAGUGGAAUUCCUAGUGUAGCGGUGAAAUGCGUAGAUAUUAGGAGGAACACCAGUGGCGAAGGCGGCUUACUGGACUGUAACUGACGUUGAGGCUCGAAGGCGUGGGGAGCAAACAGGAUUAGAUACCCUGGUA
rnacentral:rRNA from 1 species